rnacentral:rRNA from 1 species
AGAGCGAACGCUGGCGGCGUGCUUAACACAUGCAAGUCGAACGAGGUUUGUAGCAAUACAAAUACUCGUGGCGAACGGGUGCGUAACACGUGGAUAACCUUCCUUGAGGUGGGGAAUAACCCAGUGAAAAUUGGGCUAAUACCGCAUAACAUGACGAUGCCACAUGGUGUUGUCUUCAAAGGCGCAAGCCGCCACAAGAGGGAUCCGCGGCCGAUUAGCUAGUUGGCGAGGUAACGGCUCACCAAGGCGAUGAUCGGUAGCCGGACUGAGAGGUUGGCCGGCCACACUGGAACUGAGACACGGUCCAGACUCCUACGGGAGGCAGCAGUGGGGAAUCUUGCACAAUGGGCGAAAGCCUGAUGCAGCAACGCCGCGUGGGGGAUGAAGCUUCUCGGAGUGUAAACCCCUUUCGACCCGGAAGAAUGCCCGCAAGGGUUUGACGGUACGGGUAUAAGAAGCCCGGCUAACUACGCGCCAGCAGCCGCGGU